AAGCCACCGCUGGGUGCCCAGCUUGGUGCCAGCAACACAAGGGGCGCCUGAGAGAAGAGGGGUUGACCUGCCUUCCAGGACCCUGUUCUCUGUCUGGAGGGACAGGAUUUAUAGUUGGAAGGUACAGGAGGAGUCAUCUCUUCCAAGAGUCUCAUUUAAAAAUGAAGAAACCGAGGCCCAGCGAUGGGAAGUGAUUGGAAGGACACCAUGACUAGGAGAGCCCUCGCUCACUGAGCAUCUUCUCAAGUCUCUUUCACUGAGAGGGGUGAGACCCCAGAACGUUCUGAAAACUUGGAACCUAAAAAGAAGAAAUACAUUGCUCCAGGAUACAAUGAGUGCUUCCAACGUAGUCAAGAAAGACAAGUUAAUGUAUAAAACCAUCAAAUAAACACAGUAUGUACAUUGCUUCUCCAAAAGAGACAGGAGAGGUUACGGAGAAGGGACUCCUGGCCAAUACACACCUAAUGCCUGCCAGCAUUGUAGCCUGGAGAAGUCUAAUGUCUGGGGGCUUCAGCAAGAGUGGACUUGAUCAGGAGAGGACUUUAUCCAGGAUGACUGCUGGUCAAAGGGUGGGGAUGAAGAAUACCAGUAGGUGGCUUUAGUGGCCUGAGACUUGGUUCCCUUGGAAGUUCAAGAGAGGGAUACUGCUGCAAGUAAUGUCAUCCACACCUUGCCUCCCCAGGUCGGAGCUACUGUCUAUGCAACACUCAGAGAUUACCAGACACUUUACCUACAUUGGCAUUUGGUCAACUCAACAACCUUCUGAGGUUGUGUGAAACCAAAGGUAUUCCUGACCGCUGCUCUGUUUUGCCAUGGCUAACGGCUCCAUCGUUCUGAAGCACCAGCUGGCUGGGGAGCGCUCUCUGGCAACUGAUUAGUCCACAGCCCUGCCUCGCUGGUUCUGCAGCUUUCUCCAAUGCCGAUGACUGAAAACAUGCCUUUCCCAAUGAGGAAAAUAUGUCAUAUUUAGUUCCCAAGUUAUGUUUCAUGUUUACAACGGUCUUCUCAUCAUCGUUAGUUGGAUUAAAUUUAGUGAUUACAAAGAUUUUUGUUUUUAUCAAUAAUACCCUUGAUCUUGAAAAACAAGAGCAAUUUAAACAGACCCAGAUGCCCUAAACUCCAGCACAUGUUUGUUGUAUUUUUUUUUUAAUCGCAUUGUAUUUGAGGCUG
rnacentral:lncRNA from 1 species